UACCAAGUUUAACCUUGAUAGCUAUUACCAAUCCUGAGUUAUAAGCUUCCAAAGUUGGAGGAAAUUGCAUUUGCGCAUCUUGAAGAGCCACGCCCCUUUCUUGGGGCGUCAAUAUCUCGGAAACUACAUAUCCAGUAGGGCUAAUCUUUUGUGUAUGUUGAUUUUUCACAUAGUGGAUCAUUUUUAAGAAGUUUCAUAAAAAUCGGAGACGGUCGACCUGGGAUCUCUGGUUGAUUUGACACGGAAUUACCCAUUUUGGUUUAUUGCCGUUUUGACUAGAAAGCCACAUUCUGAUGCUGCAUACAGUAUUAUCCUCCCCAUUAAAAAAUGUAUUGCCCUUUUUAUAAUUUGCAAUGUACCUGUAUUACACUCAUUUUAUGUCUUCUAAUUCAACAGAACAUGGUAGAGUAGUGGAAAGUAAUGAAGUUGAAAAAAAAACAGAUAAUGAUGGACAGAAGUUGAUAUAAUAAGUUAUGAUAAGUGUUGGCACAUCUUACAGAUACGUUUGAAAAUCAUUUAUUCCAUCAACCAUUGUUGGCUAUCAAAGAAGAGAAGCCUGUGCUCACAACUACAGAAGGAUGGAUCAGCCCUGGUAAUACAAAUACAAGGAAUGUUUCAAAAAGCAACAAUAUUGUAAUCAUACAACCAUGGCAAGGAGAAAGCUGUAGAAAGCUCCAACUUUAAUCGGUACAUCACUUAACAAAAGAUAAUUGACAAGUUAAAAAGUAAUUGAUCUGUUUUUGUUUUUUAGUUUUCUGCAAAGUGCACAUAAUUGAUUUAUUAAUAUUUUCUAAAUUCAGGUUUUUUUUAGAUUAAAUAAAACAAUUGCAUUGUAAUCAUCUAUAAUCAUUUAAUUUAAUCCUAAAUGUAUUUAUAAAUUUGCUCACUAUACACAAUGUAAUUAAAGUGUACAGUAGUAAUAAUUGCAUAUUGUUUCUUUAUAUUAUUAAUUCAUUGUCCAAUAUGACUUACACUAUAUAUCUUGUUAUAACUAUA